UUAUCUAAAAUGUUUUAGAUAAUGUAUGUUGGAAAUUUGCCAGACAUGACUAUGAUGUCAUUUUCUAUUUUUAUUUGCCAAUAACUUUAUGUAAAUAACUUCAUUGGAAAUUUGCCAAUAUAAAAAUGUUGCUGAUGAAGUUUUUUUUAUUGUUUUAUACAAUAAACAAUGUAUAUUCACUUUUACUACCAACCAAUCUUUACCAUUCAGUGAUAACAAGCACUUUAUUUUACCUUUUAAUAUUUUAUGAUGUAUUUAAAAGAGUAGUUAUUGUUGCAAACUCCAUUAGAAAUUUGAAUUGAUAUCAGUUUUGGAAAAAGGGAAACGGGGAUGUGAAAAAAGGGGGGGGGGGUUAAAUUUUUCUCAUUUCAAUUUCAUAAAUAAAAAGAAAAUUUCUUCAAACAUUUUUUUGAGAGGAUUAAUAUUCAACAGCAUAGUGAAUUGCUCAAAGGCAAAAAAAAACUUUUAAGUUCAUUAGACCACAUUCAUUCUGUGUCAGAAACCUAUGCUGUGUCAACUAUUUAAUUUUAGAUUUAAAUAAGAAGAAAUCUUUAAUUGAUUUGUAAAAUCUUGACAUUUGUUUUGUGUAAAAAAACCCAUGUAAUGUCAAAAAUUUGAUCACAAUCCAAAUUCAGAGCUGUAUCACGCUUGAAUGUUUUGUCCAUACUUGCCCCAACUGUUCAGGGUUCGACCUCUGCGGUCGUAUAAAGCUGCGCCCUGCGGAGCACCUGGUUUAGUUUUGGUCUAUUUUUCUAAUACUUUAUGCAUUAGGUCAACUAUAUUUGGUGUAUGGACAUAUUUUAUGAUCUUUAUGUCGGUUACGCUGGUUUUAUUUGACGUUGACCUCAUUUUCACGGUCCAUUGCUAAGUUUUAAGUGUUUGUGUGUUUUGGUCUGUUAUUUUUUUCUUUAUUUAUAAGCAAUAAGUCAACUAUAUUUGUUGCAUUGAAGAAUUGUUAGCUGUACAUGUUUGCCUGGCAUGGUUCAUCUGACCUUGACCUCAUUUUCAUGGUUGAUUGAUCAAUGUUUCCUUUUCUUGGUUAAUGUUGAGUUUAUGUGACAGUUGUAAUAAAGCUUUAUAUUUAGGUCUAUCAAGAUAGUAUCAAGGAUUAGUAAAGAAGGCGAGACAUUUCAGUGUGUGCACUCUUGUUAAUACAGAAAUAAUUAAUCAAGGAUUUUAUUAACUAUAAUAAUGGGACUGGAUGCAUAUUUUAAUAUUAAGAACUCAUGUUAUUAUCUCUUAUACAGAUAGUUACAUUAAGAUUCUCCCGAAACUCACAUUUUUUUGUUCAUUUGAAAAAAAAGUUACUAAUAAAUACAAACUAUAAUUUCUGAAUUUAUAGUAAUUUGGUUAACAGUAAGGUUAGGAUAGGAAAAUAUACACAUAAAUUAUAAUUAUAACUUAUAUUCAUAUGACAAUUUGGCUUUAAUUUAAAAACAUUUUGAAUGAUUAACUGUUAAACAAUUGGUAUCCAACCAACGACAUACUAUUAUAUGAACAAUGAAUUUACACAUUAUAAUUUAGAUUGUAAAACAUUUAAUUGUGACCAUUAAUCUAAAUGAUAAAUAUAUAUUCAAAUUAUUGAUAUUGCUGAACAUUAAGAGUCUAGCAAUAAAAGGACCUUUGUUUUAAUCUGUUAAAUUUCCUCCAACACAUACCAGAGUUAAGUGUUUUUCUCACAUAUGAUAAGUUCAGUUUGAAUUUUUAUUAAAACCCUUUAAACAUUCAUAAGAUAUUCAAACCUUUAUCUUUGAUUUAAAAAUUUGUUUUAUUAUACUUCUUUAACAAUUUUUUUAUUAUGUCGUUUUUAACAAGAAAUAAAAGGGAUCAGGGGAGGGGGAUUCAUAAUAAAUAGUAUGUUACAAUUGCACAAUAAUGGUUAGGUUGUAAAAUUGAGGUCAAGCAAAAUAUAUAAAAACACAUUAACCUAUGGAGAAUUAUUUCACAGAAUUAGAUAAAUUGGUAAAAUUAAUACCUUAAGGUAAUAAUACAUCUUAAAGUGUAAUCAUUUCUGCACUUUACCAUGUCCAUAUAUGGUUGUAGGGGUCAAAGGAUGGACAAAAUAUUUUGCUUGUCUAGGGUGCCAAUGCCAUGGAGUGUACAUGCAUGUGCUGCCUAUUGUGGAUUGGUAAUCAAAAGCCCUUAUCCAUAUUAGAUUAAGUGCACAUCUGGUUUUCUGGUUGUGAAUUAAGUUCUUCAAUGCUAGAUUCUAAAUAAGAUAUUCCAUAAAUAAUUUAUUAAAGGAAAAGGACUUUCAAAUAUAAUUUUGUGGGAAAUGGGGUAUUUUUAUUGGCCUCCAGGUGCUAAAGAGUUAAGCAAUUUAUAUGUUGUGCACGUUGGUUAAUAAAGUUUAUUACUUCUGUCAAACCAUUGUUUUUUUAUAUAGAUAGUUCUUUAAUAGUUGUAAAUAGGUUUUAGUGAUACAUUGUAUUGUUUGCCAGUUAUAAUAACCUCAAAUUAUUUGCCUGUUUUGAUUUAUUAUUAUAUACAUACUUUAUUCAAGUUAUUAACUGAUCAUGAUAUUGAUUAAUUGGAGAUAGGAUUUUGUAUUAAGUUCAGGAUUAAUUGCAUAUUGUAUUGUAUAAAUUUCAGGAUUAAUGGACAAAUCAUAUAAUAUUUAUUCGAUAAUUAUAAAACAAAAUGAACGGAAUGGAUUUGUUGUAAAAUGUUGUCUAUAUUCAUAUCUUUGUACUAAAAAAUGUCAAUUUUAUAUGUAAACACUGUAAAGAUGAUCAGUUUAAGAAAUUGAGGUAAAAAAAGUGUUCAUCCUUUUUAAUUUUGUGAUAAAAAAUUAAACCUAUACAUAUACAGUGGCAAUGUCAUUUUCAGAGGCAAUGACAUUUUGAUUGACAUGUUUCCAUAUUGACUUUGUAUCUGUAUUAGUCACAAUAUAAAGGACAGUAACCAAGCAGACAAAUCAAAAUUGAGCCUUGAGUCAAAAGUAAAAUGACACUGAAUUAAUAUGAUGAAUUUGCUCUCGCCACAGAGAAAAUUAUGAUUAUCUCCCUUAUAUUGAUAUGUUUGAUCAAAAUAUUGUGUGAUUUUAUUGUUUUCAAUAAAGUAUGAACAAGCUUCAUAGAGA
rnacentral:lncRNA from 1 species